CAAAAUCCCACAUCUGAGGCUUCCAAGGGCCCUACUGAUAACAUUAUGACAUGUCUCUUACCUUUCCCUCCAGGGUCUUAUCUACAUCAAAGUACACAGUUUGGCAGUUACAGCGGUUAUUGUGGGAAAGGACAGGUGUAUUGUGGAAGCUUUUGCCUUUCUUGACGUGUACGCCAGGGUUGCAGGUGGAACUACUGUGUUGGUGGUCAGGAUAAAUUGUACCCUUACUUUGGUUGUUCGGUUCUCGGUGUCUAACAGCAUACUAGUGAUAGCCUUGGGCCUUGAGAAACUCGCUAUUUCACUACAUUCUUCAGCACUAGGGAUUGUCCGGGUUAACCUUCUGCUGAAUCACUGCAGGGAUAUUCUGAAUGUAUUGCUUAUGCCUCACCUCAAUGAACGCUGUGCCCAUGGAUUCCCACUCAUGCGAUAUCCAGAAACUCUAACCAUCGGUCAUGCAACUUACUAUUACAGGGAUUGCUUUGUAUUGUGUUACUAAAUGGGAGGACCUUUUCUGCAGAAGAAGCAUUGGACCGAAGGGAAGGCGAGGCUGGCAAGAGAAAGAAGAA